CCUACGGGAGGCAGCAGUGGGGGAUAUUGCACAAUGGGGGGAACCCUGAUGCAGCGACGCCGCGUGUGGGAAGACGGUCCUCUGGAUUGUAAACCACUGUCCCCAGGGACGAAAAUGACGGUACCUGGGGAGGAAGCUCCGGCUAACUACGUGCCAGCAGCCGCGGUAAUACGUAGGGAGCGAGCGUUGUCCGGAAUUACUGGGUGUAAAGGGAGCGUAGGCGGGGAUGCAAGUUGGGUGUCAAAACUACCGGCUCAACUGGUAGUCGCACUCAAAACUGCAGCUCUUGAGUGAAGUAGAGGCAGGCGGAAUUCCUAGUGUAGCGGUGAAAUGCGUAGAUAUUAGGAGGAACACCAGUGGCGAAGGCGGCCUGCUGGACGACAACUGACGGUGAGGCGCGAAAGCGUGGGGAGCAAACAGGAUUAGAUACCCUGGUAGUC
rnacentral:rRNA from 1 species